UUUGAAGGCUUUCCUUCUUUCUUUUCUUUUCUUUUUAGGGCCGCAUCUGUGACAUAUGGAGGUUCCCAGGCUAGGGGUUAAAUCGGAGCUGUAGCUGCUGGACUACACCACAGCCACAACAAUGCCAGACUUGAGCUGCUCCUGUGACCUACACCACAGCCCACGGAUCCUGGGCUGGAUCCUUAACCCGCUGAGUGAGGCCAGGGAUCAAACCCGAAAUUUCCUAGUUCUUAGUUGGAUUCAUUUCCACUGAACUACCAUGGGAACUCCCUCGAAGGCUUUCUUAAACCCUCAGGCACUGCUCUUUCUCCAAUCUUUUUUUUUUUUUUGUACUGAAAUAACCACAACUUUGGGAUGAAGUAAUCGAAUUUGAGUGAUACAGGUGGAGGCCCUUCCUCUCUUUUUCUUUUUUCUUUUUUUGAGGCCCUUCCUUUCUUAAUUGGCAAAUGAAAUGAAAUGAGACUUGGCCUGUAACAUAAUGUAUAAUUAUAACUUAAUUAAUGUAUAAUUCAUUUGGACCAAAGCAUGAUUCAUUGUCUGUAAGGUCAUAUUCCAAAGUAGUUUUCGUCUUUGUUACAGAAGCAAUUUAGAUUGAGGGAGGUUUCAAAGUGGAAGGACUGAGAUUAACCAAAUCAGAUGAUUAAUGAGGAACCUAGGCCCGGCUAGGAUCUGACCUGUAGUAAACCCCACAAUUUCCACCAUCCGCCUUUGCACUAUGUCCUCCUGACCUUAAUGUGGAAAACUGGGAAGCAAUUUAAGUGUCUUCAAAAGAGAGAAUCAACUAUUGUCUUUUUUUUUUUUUUUUUUUUUUUUUGCUAUUUCUUGGGCCCCUCCCACAGCAUAUGAAGGUUCCCAGGCUAGGGGUCGAAUCGGAGCUGUAGCCACCGGCCUACGCCAGAGCCAUAGCAACGCUGGAUCUGAGCCGUGUCUGCAGCCUACACCACAGCUCACAGCAAUGCCGGAUCCUUUAACCCGCUGAGCAAGGCCAGUGAUCUAACCCGCAACCUCAUGGUUCCUAGUCGGAUUUGUUAACCACUGAGCCACGACAAGAACUCCAAGAGAAUCAACUAUUCUGUAGAUUUUUGGAAGCCUCACUUUUGCCAUAACUCUUGAUUUUCUUUGGUCCUGAUUCUGCUUACAUGGAACUUCCAGGACUCGUAUCUGUUUUAACUACUGCAGUUAGUAGUAAUGUCCAUACUUUUUUUUUUUUUUUUUUUUUUUUUUUUUAGGGCUGCACCAGAGGCAUAUGGAAGUUCCCAGGCUAGGGGUCUAAUCAGAGCUAUAGCUACUGUCCUGCACCACAGCCACACAGGAUCUGAGCAGCAUCUCUGUGGUGUAGGUCACAGAUGAGGCUUGGAUCCCGAGUUGCUGUGGCUCUGGCAUAGGCUGGCGGCUACAGCUCCAAUUUGACCCCAGCCUGGGAACCUACAUAUGCCGCAGGAAGUGACCCUAGAAAAGGCAAAAAGACAAAAAAAUUAAAUUAAAUUAAAUUAAAUUAAAAAAAAGAACCAACACUAUAUAUUGUGUCCAUUCUCUGUUCCCUGGCCUUACCCCACUUAACUCAUAAGGGGGACUAGUGUAUGAUAAUCCACAUUUUGCAGAUGAAUGAACUGAGAUUCAGGAAUUUCAAGUCAUAUGUACCAGAACACACAGCUAGUUAAUAGCCAAGCCGGAACCAGAGCCAUGGUAAAACCCACCAGUAUUUGUUUCUUCUUACUCUGCUCUUUGCCCAUUACUCAUAUUUAAUCCAGCAAAAAGAAAAAAAAA
ensembl:lncRNA